rnacentral:rRNA from 1 species
UUUUUUUUUUUUUUUUUUUUUUUUUUUUUUUUUUUAAAAAAAUUUUUUUUUUUGUCUUUCAUUUUUUUUUCAUUGAUUUUCUUUAAUUUAGUUAAUUGUACCGUGAGGGAUAAUUAAAUUUUAUUGUAGAAUAAUUAUUUUUUUUAGUACCUUUUGUAUCAGGGUUAAUUAAUUUUUUUAAUUUAUUUUAAUUUCCCGAAAAUUUAAGAUUUACUUUGAUCUUUACUUUAAUGUUGAAUAGUUAUUUAAAAGAUUUUAGUUGUUUUGAAAUGAAAUUCGUUUAAUUUUAUAUCUGGUUACCCAGGAAACUGAUUUAAUCAGGGAUUUUUAUUUGUUUCUUUAUUAUUUAUUUUCAUUUUAAUAUCUCAUAUCAAAGUGGAUAAGCUCUUUUUUAAAAUAUAAUUUAUAUUAACUUUUUUUUUUGUUGGAUUGAAAUCUUUCUUCAUUUUAAGUUCGUUAAAGAUUAAUAAUUUGUUUUUUUUAUAUUUAUUUAUAUACUGGGUUUUUUAAUAAUUUUUUAGGUUUUAAUAAUGAUUAUAUUAGUAGAUUUAAAAAUUUAUUUUAUGAACUAGGCAAAAAAUAUUUCCGCCUGUUUAUCAAAAACAUGUCUUUCAGUUUAUUAUUGAAGGUUUGACCUGCUCAAUGUAAUAUAAAUAGCCGCAGUAUUUUGACUGUGCUAAGGUAGCAUAAUAAUUAGUCUUUUAAUUGAGGUCUUGAAUGAAAGGUUGGACGAGAAAUAUACUUUAUUGUUUAAAUUUUAUUUGAAUUUUAUUUUUUAGUAAAAAAGCUAAAUUGUUGAAGAGGGACGAUAAGACCCUAUAGAUCUUUAUUUUUUCCUGAUUUUAUUUUUUAUAGUUUAUUUUAAAGUUUCUUUAGUGAUAAAUUUUACUGGGGUGGUAAAUAAAAUUUUAAUCUUUAUUUUUUUUUUACAUUUUUUUAUGUUAUUUUGAUCCUUUUUUUUGAUUAUAAGAUUAAGAUACCUUAGGGAUAACAGCGUUAUGAUUCUGGAGAGUUCACAUUGAUAGAAUUGUUUGCGACCUCGAUGUUGGAUUAAAAAUUUCUGUGGGGCAGGUUUCAUAGUUUAGGGUCUGUUCGACCUUUAAAAUUUUACAUGAUCUGAGUUCAAGCCGGCGUGAGCCAGGUUGGUUUCUAUCUUCUUUAUUUAUUAUUCUAAUUGGUACGAAAGGAUUUUUAGAAAUGUAAUAGUUUAUUU